rnacentral:rRNA from 1 species
GGGAACGUACCUUUCGGUUCGGAAUAAUCCAGGGAAACUUGGACUAAUACCGGAUACGCCCUUCGGGGGAAAGAUUCAUCGCCGAAAGAUCGGCCCGCGUCUGAUUAGCUAGUUGGUGAGGUAAAGGCUCACCAAGGCGACGAUCAGUAGCUGGUCUGAGAGGAUGAUCAGCCACAUUGGGACUGAGACACGGCCCAAACUCCUACGGGAGGCAGCAGUGGGGAAUAUUGGACAAUGGGCGCAAGCCUGAUCCAGCCAUGCCGCGUGAGUGAUGAAGGCCUUAGGGUUGUAAAGCUCUUUUGUCCGGGAAGAUAAUGACUGUACCGGAAGAAUAAGCCCCGGCUAACUUCGUGCCAGCAGCCGCGGUAAUACGAAGGGGGCUAGCGUUGCUCGGAAUCACUGGGCGUAAAGGGCGCGUAGGCGGACUUUUAAGUCGGAGGUGAAAGCCCAGGGCUCAACCCUGGAAUUGCCUUCGAUACUGGGAGUCUUGAGUUCGGAAGAGGUUGGUGGAACUGCGAGU